ensembl:snRNA U2 U2 spliceosomal RNA
AUUGCUUCUUGGCCUUUUGGCUAAGAUCAAGCGUAGUAUCUGAAUGAAUCUCAGCCAUUUUUUCAUGACUUGUUAUUCUUAGGUUGUGUUUUUGCAAAAUCAUUCUGCAUUUGCAGACUUCCCU